rnacentral:lncRNA from 1 species
GAGUAGCACUGAUAUAUAAUUCUAAGCCUAAUUUAAAGCCAAAGAAUAGGUGUGAUAGAUGAGGUGCUCGCGUUCUGCUCCUUAGUUCCAUAGGUGGAAAACACGGCAGAGCUCGUUUUGACCCGUGUUGUAGACAUUUCAGACCUAAUGGUCUCUCCCUACACCUCAGCUUUAUCAGACCAUUUUUUACUCACUUUCCAGGUGGUGGUAUCCUGCCCCUGCGAGGAUCAGCAGGCCACUUUCAGCUGUCGUCGCAUCACCCCUGCAACCAUUACAGUUAUGGCAGACAGGGGACCAUUGUUUCUCCAAACGUUUCUCCCAACGGUCCAAUCAACUCCCACCGCCCUUUGCCCCCCCCCCCCCCCCCCCCCCCCCCCCACAUCAUCCAUUUUCCCUUUCUCCUCAGCGUUAUGCAGGGCUGACCAUACACUGGGUCUAUACAGCGUGUGUUUAUGACUGAAGGCCAUCCGACGGCAGGACAUUGAGGUGCAAGUUGUCCUUCGACAGUUAAUGAGAGCACCAGACGGACUCCAGUCCGCCCUGAGGUCUCUCUACCUCCUCAACCACCUCCUCCUCCACCUACUCCCCCAACUCCUCCACCUCCUCCUCCACCUACUCCCCCACCUCCUCCACUACAUCCCCUCCGGGACGCCCUGCUCCCCCUGUCCCGGGCGGGGCCCUGAGGUCCUCCUCUCCGGGACUCCCUGCUCUCCCUGUCACGGGCGGGGGCCAGGCCCGGAUCACAUUACAGGAAGAACCAGGCAAUUAUGUAAUGGAGUCUAAUCUAUACUUCUCCUGUCAGCAGGCAGGGGGGGGGGGGCAUGCACAAUAAGACACAGAGAUACUCCGAGCGAUCGAUGGGCUUCUGACGGCGGUUGGGGGGGGGGGGGGAUGUUGUGUUACGAAGCAGACGGAUCAAAGUGCAGCUUUCACGCGUGUCUCCACAACACCGCUGGCUGGUUUGAAAAAGGGUGUUGUAACGAGAGCUCUCUGUCCAGCACAGAGAGAGAGAGAGAGAGAGAGAGAGAGAGAGAGAGAGAGAGAGAGAGAGAGGGAGAGGGGGAGAGAGAGAGAGAGGGGCCGGAGAGAGAGAGAGAGAGAGAGGGCCGGAGAGAGAGAGAGAGAGAGGGCCGGAGAGAGAGAGAGGUCUUUUAUCUGAGUUUAGCUCCAUGCUAGAAUGAAAUCAAUUCUUAAAUUAGUUAAUUCAACAAAUAUUUUAUGAAUUAAUGAAUUAAGAAAGCGUGAACAAAUAAAGAAAUGCCCGCAAGGCUUGCAUGAGUGUGUAAUGUGCUUAGAUGAUAUACUUCGAAUGAUCUCUGAGCAACAUAACAGUGGUGAAAUGUGCUCAAUAGAAAAUUGAAUGACUCAGUAAUUAAGUCAAAUAUGAAAGGAGGAAUCAACAGACAUCCUUCUGGCCCACUUCCAAAGGUUUGACAAUUUAUUUUCAUGAUCAAAUAAAACCGUUUACCAUCCUACCAUAUAACUAGAACCAGACCAAACCAGUGAAACAACGCCCCCUCUGGUGUAACACGAUUUAGGGCAGCUUUUCCUCCCCUGGCCUCCAGUGCACCUGGAGACACGAUCUAAUGUUAGCACAGUGGGUGAGGGGGGGGGGGGGGGGGGGGGGGAUUUUUCCAAGUAAAGGAUGCGCUUGCGAAAACCCCCAAGGAGAGUCUCUCUGAGCUCUGAGGAGGAGUGGGAGGAGGAACAUUGUCACGGUGAGGAUCUCCUCCUACAUCCUCCUCCUACAUCCUCCUCCACAUCCUCCACCGCCUCCUACAUCCUCCUCCACCCCUUUUGAGUAAACAAAAGAGUGUUUUAGGUGGGACGCUACAACAGCUAAGCUGCCGAAAGGACAGAUUUAAGAACGCUUUUUUACCUAGGACAGAAGAAUAUUCAUUUAAACUGUUAGCUUGAGCUGCUUAUCAAACUGUAUUAUUGCACCUGUUCAUUGCACACCUGUAUAUUUGCAUACCUGUAUAUUUGCACACAUCUUGUUCUGCUAUCUCUGAGUAACAGCUGCUUAUACUUCAACUAAACUAACAGACCUUGAGGAAUCGAGAAGACCAGGUCAAGUAUGAUAAGAGUCUUUAUUGCUACCCGCGAACAGGCAAACAAAGAAACUUACACUAACAUGUCAGACCAUACAGAUAACGUUUAGAAAAAUGUCAUGUUUGAUUGGUUCAAAGUCCUGUGUUUAUGGUACCGUUUAUGUACAUUCUGAUCCCUUGGACCCUCCACAUGGAAUCAACAUUUUAGGCCCAACUCAUGUCAGUCCAUAUUUAUAGGGGAAAGAUGACUAUUGACCACCAUUAAUAUAUGUAUAUGCCUGACAAUAAUCAUAAUUUGCCAUAGAAUAUAGGGUUCAUUUCUUCUAUAUGGGCUCAUGGUUUCUGUAUAGGUGGGAUAUGUAUGUAUACAUGUGGUGAGAUGAAUAAAGUAUAUCUUAUCUUACUUUUGUCUCCUCACACAGGGGACCAUUGUUUCUCCAAACGUUUCUCCCAACGGUCCAAUCAACUCCCACCGCCCUUUGCCCCCCCCCCCCCCCCCCCCCCCCCCCCCACAUCAUCCAUUUUCCCUUUCUCCUCAGCGUUAUGCAGGGCUGACCAUACACUGGGUCUAUACAGCGUGUGUUUAUGACUGAAGGCCAUCCGACGGCAGGACAUUGAGGUGCAAGUUGUCCUUCGACAGUUAAUGAGAGCACCAGACGGACUCCAGUCCGCCCUGAGGUCUCUCUACCUCCUCAACCACCUCCUCCUCCACCUACUCCCCCAACUCCUCCACCUCCUCCUCCACCUACUCCCCCACCUCCUCCACUACAUCCCCUCCGGGACGCCCUGCUCCCCCUGUCCCGGGCGGGGCCCUGAGGUCCUCCUCUCCGGGACUCCCUGCUCUCCCUGUCACGGGCGGGGGCCAGGCCCGGAUCACAUUACAGGAAGAACCAGGCAAUUAUGUAAUGGAGUCUAAUCUAUACUUCUCCUGUCAGCAGGCAGGGGGGGGGGGGCAUGCACAAUAAGACACAGAGAUACUCCGAGCGAUCGAUGGGCUUCUGACGGCGGUUGGGGGGGGGGGGGAUGUUGUGUUACGAAGCAGACGGAUCAAAGUGCAGCUUUCACGCGUGUCUCCACAACACCGCUGGCUGGUUUGAAAAAGGGUGUUGUAACGAGAGCUCUCUGUCCAGCACAGAGAGAGAGAGAGAGAGAGAGAGAGAGAGAGAGAGAGAGAGAGAGAGAGAGGGAGAGGGGGAGAGAGAGAGAGAGGGCCGGAGAGAGAGAGAGAGAGAGGGCCGGAGAGAGAGAGAGAGAGAGGGCCGGAGAGAGAGAGAGAGAGAGGGCCGGAGAGAGAGAGAGGUCUUUUAUCUGAGUUUAGCUCCAUGCUAGAAUGAAAUCAAUUCUUAAAUUAGUUAAUUCAACAAAUAUUUUAUGAAUUAAUGAAUUAAGAAAGCGUGAACAAAUAAAGAAAUGCCCGCAAGGCUUGCAUGAGUGUGUAAUGUGCUUAGAUGAUAUACUUCGAAUGAUCUCUGAGCAACAUAACAGUGGUGAAAUGUGCUCAAUAGAAAAUUGAAUGACUCAGUAAUUAAGUCAAAUAUGAAAGGAGGAAUCAACAGACAUCCUUCUGGCCCACUUCCAAAGGUUUGACAAUUUAUUUUCAUGAUCAAAUAAAACCGUUUACCAUCCUACCAUAUAACUAGAACCAGACCAAACCAGUGAAACAACGCCCCCUCUGGUGUAACACGAUUUAGGGCAGCUUUUCCUCCCCUGGCCUCCAGUGCACCUGGAGACACGAUCUAAUGUUAGCACAGUGGGUGAGGGGGGGGGGGGGGGGGGGGAUUUUUCCAAGUAAAGGAUGCGCUUGCGAAAACCCCCAAGGAGAGUCUC